rnacentral:lncRNA from 1 species
GCCGGAUAAGAUCACACAUACCUACUACUCCACAACUGAUCUUUAUUUCUAAAUAAAUUCGAAUCCACACCUCACUUUUUAAAAUAUGAGAUUAAACCUAAAGAGGGGGAGCUCUAUAUUGGGGCAUUGUAUUAAUUAAUUUGUCACAAUCUUUGACCACUUAUACUGAUAUGAUGCAACACCUUACGUUUUUUUUUUUUUUUUUUUGAGUUAGGAGAUGGGAGUUUGGAAUUUAUACCCUAAUCAUGCAUGCAUUCAUUUUUAUAAAUGAAAAAAUAUAAUCGAGGUCGACUAUACAUAUGAAAAAUAUUAAGUGUUCGUGAGGAUUAAUUGAAAUAAUCAUAUCAACACUACCCUUCAUAGAGAUUUGACAGCUCUUGCAAAUCGACAAUGCGAUAACUAACACUGGUUCACGUAUGAAUUAGGUUCAUC